rnacentral:rRNA from 1 species
AGAAUCAACGCUGGCGGCGUGCCUAACACAUGCAAGUCGAACGAGAAAGUGGAGCAAUCCAUGAGUAAAGUGGCGACCGGGUGAGUAACACGUGACCAAUCUACCCUUGAGUGGGGGAUAACCUCGGGAAACCGGGGCUAAUACCGCAUAAUAUCUUCGGAACGGAAGUACUGAAGAUCAAAGGAGCAAUUCGCUUAAGGAGGAGGUCGCGGCUGACUAGCUAGUUGGCGGGGUAAUGGCCCACCAAGGCAAAGAUCGGUA